UCCGGUUGAUCCUGCCGGAGGUUACUGCUAUCGGUAUUCGACUAAGCCAUGCGAGUUAAAUGUUCUUCGUGAACAUAGCGAACUGCUCAGUAACACGUGGAUAACCUGCCCUUAGGUUCGGCAUAACUCCGGGAAACUGGAGAUAAUUCCGAAUAAACCAUUCAUGCUGGAAUGCUUUUUGGUUCAAAGACUUCGGUUGCCUAAGGAUGGAUCUGCGGUCUAUCAGGUAGUAGUGGGUGUAAGGUACCUACUAGCCUACGACGGAUAUGGGUUGUGAGAGCAAGAGCCCAGAGAUGGAUUCUGAGACAUGAAUCCAGGCCCUACGGGGCGCAGCAGGCGCGAAAACUUUACAAUGCGGGAAACCGCGAUAAGGGGAUACCGAGUGCCAGCAUAUUAUGUUGGCUGUCCACAUGUGUAAACGGCAUGUGUUAGCAAGGGCCGGGCAAGACCGGUGCCAGCCGCCGCGGUAACACCGGCGGCCCGAGUGGUAAUCACUUUUAUUGGGUCUAAAGGGUCCGUAGCCGGUUUGAUCAGUUCUUCGGGAAAUCUGACAGUUCAACUGUUAGGCUUCCGGGGAAUACUGUCAGACUUGGGACCGGGAGAGGUAAGAGGUACUACAGGGGUAGGAGUGAAAUCUUGUAAUCCCUGUGGGACCACCAGUGGCGAAGGCGUCUUACCAGAACGGGUCCGACGGUGAGGGACGAAAGCUGGGGGGCACGAACCGGAUUAGAUGCCCGGGUAGUCCCAGCCGUAAACGAUGUUCGCUAGGUGUCAGGGACGGUGCGACUGUUUCUGGUGCCGUAGGGAAGCCGUGAAGCGAACCACCUGGGAAGUACGGGCCGUAAGGCUGAAACUUAAAGGAAUUGGCGGGGGAGCACCACAAGGGGUGAAGCCUGCGGUUC
rnacentral:rRNA from 1 species